rnacentral:rRNA from 1 species
UAGCAAUAUUCUGUGGUCGGAGCGGCGCAAGGGUGCGUAACACGUGGGUAAUCUGCCAUGAAGUCCGGGAUAACUUGCUGAAAGGCGAGCUAAUACCGGAUGUGAUAUUCGGAGGGCAUCCUCCGGAUCUUAAAGUUGGGGACCGUAAGGCCUGACGCUUCAUGAUGAACCCGCGGCCUAUCAGCUAGUUGGUGAGGUAACGGCCCACCAAGGCUAAGACGGGUAGCUGGUCUGAGAGGACGACCAGCCACACUGGAACUGAGACACGGUCCAGACACCUACGGGUGGCAGCAGUCGAGAAUUUUUCACAAUGGGCGAAAGCCUGAUGGAGCGACGCCGCGUGGGGGAUGAAGGGCUUCGGCCUGUAAACCCCUGUCAUUUGCGAUCAACCCUUGCUAUUUAAAAGAUGGCAAGCUGAUAGUAGCGAAAGAGGAAGGGACGGCUAACUCUGUGCCAGCAGCCGCGGUAAUACAGAGGUCCCAAGCGUUGUUCGGAUUCACUGGGCGUAAAGGGUGCGUAGGUGGCGAAGUAAGUCGGAUGUGAAAUCUCCGAGCUCAACUCGGAAAUGGCAUUGGAAACUGCUUUGCUUGAGGUUUGGAAGGGGGACUGGAAUUCACGGUGUAGCA